UACGGAGGGUGCGAGCGUUGUCCGGAAUCACUGGGCGUAAAGGGCGCGUAGGCGGUGCGAGAAGCGUGUGGUGAAAGGCCGGGGCUCAACCCCGGCUCGGCCGUGCGGACUCUCGCGCUUGGUGAGUGCUGUAGAGGCGGGCGGAAUUCCGGGUGUAGCGGUGGAAUGCGUAGAGAUCCGGAAGAACACCAGUGGCGAAGGCGGCUACCUGGACUGACACUGACGCUGAGGCGCGAGAGCGUGGGGAGCAACAGG
rnacentral:rRNA from 1 species